CCUCAGUGACCAGCCACUGCCGGAGCACCUGCUGUCCUCGGAUGCAGUUUCAAUUCCCCCUGGUUCUAGCAGGACCUGGGGCACAUGCAGGGUCCAGGAGCAGGUCUGCGUGGCAGUGACCGCGUCUGUGGAAGUCUGAAGCCCCGUCCACGAAGCCAUCCGGGCCGGGGAUGUCGGGUCUCUGGACGGCUCCCACCGCGGUGUCCGCCUGCUGAGCCGUCUGGCUAAGCUUCGUUGCUAGGAAAGGAAACGUGACGCCUAUUCUGUGCUAACAAGUGCAUUCUGCUGGUCGUCCCCAGCGUGAGCUGCUGCGAUACCCUGAGUGGGCGAGUCCACACCCGCACCUGGCGCCUGCCCCACCCGAGCCACGGGAGCAGCUGUCAUUUGGGGGAGCAGGGGUGUGGACAUGCCCUCAGCCGACCACUGAGCCCCCAGUGUCCCAGGUCCCCUCCUGGGGCCGGAGAGGGCAGGGCCGUGGCCCAGGAGGCCUGGCAGCUUUGCGGGGGUGGGGCGCACAUUUGUACAGCAGAUGAAGGAUGCUGGGGCGGGGCCCGUGGUCGUGGGCUGAGUGCUCGCUGUGGCUGCAGGCUGCGGCCUGGUGCCUGUCUUCACGUGGUCCUCAGCACCCACCCCGCGGGGCUGUUGUUAUUACUGUUAUGACUAUGCCACUGUGCGGUGGGCGUGCUGAGGCCCAGGCCUCCACACAUCUACCUCCCCCCUGCUCCCUGCUGGUAGAGGUCGCUGGGACGAGAAGGAGGGGACGGAGCUGGGUGGCAUCUGGCCAGAUGCACGUGUUCAGGGGCCGCGUGGAUGGUGCAGUUUGAGGUCCACCCUGGUCCAUGAACCCUGGGCUGGUGGCCAGUGCCCAUCGGUUCCCCACUGGGACCACCACGGGGUCUGGGAGAGUGGCCUCUCCCCUCAUGUCCUCCAGGCCACUUCUGGAGCCACGGCAGACAGCGUCGUGGGAUGGCAGCUCUCCCGGCAUCCGAGUAGCCCCUCUGCCUGACAUCUAGGCCCCAGGGUUAGGGUGGGCUUUCCUGUGGGGCUGUAGCCUGACGAGGGAGCCCCUGGCCGUCCCUGGCCCAUGACCAGUCACAGCAGCCACAGUGCUGGGCCCCAGAGACCAGGGUGCCCAUACUCCUCCUAAUUUUGAGGAGUGGUCUUGGGGGAGUGAGGGGGACAUAUUUGGGGAGCCCCUUCUGGAACUUUCCUCCUCCCCAGCUCCUCCCCUUCACCCCUGGGACUCUCACCUCUUGGAGCCAUGGUGGUGUCGGGUAAGCAUUUCUGGAAACUUCCAACUCUGAGCUUUAGAAACGAUUUGUGGAUUUUAAGGGCUUUGAUCCCCAGGAAAGGUGGAGAAAUAAGUCAGCCAGGCCAAGUGCUGAGGACAGACGAGCCUGCAGGUGCCGAAGCCUCUCCUGCAGCCUCCUCGCUGUGAAACACGUGUUCUUGUGUGCAAGAACACAUCUGACGACGGAGCAGGCACACGUGCCCUCUUCCACGCGCACACAGCCGUGUCCGUGGUGCUGUCCUCAGGAAGCGGCAGGACGUAGUCGGAAGGAGAAAGCGUGCAUCCGUGCCUGGUCCGUGGGUCGCCCACAGGAAGCCUGCUCGCCCCAGACCUGCAAGGGUCCCAGCCUCCCUGGCUGCCGGUGGGCAGCCCUGUGGGGUGGAGGGUGGUUAGGGGCUUUGGCUGCAUCCUGCGUCCCUGCGCUCAGGGGUCCUGGGCGCCCCUGUGGUUUCGUCCUGGUGGUCCAUGUUCCGCUGUGUCCAGGAGCUCGGACUGGGGCUUCGAGGACAUUCUGCAGCUGGGCCCUCCCAAAGAGCUGGCAGUGACCGGGGGCUGCUGAGGGGGCAAAGAUUAGGCUCGCUGCUGCUCUGCCCUCGGCAGAGACCAGUCAGACCCCUCCCCAGCAGAGCAGACUGCACUGGGCCUUGGCCUGAGGGGGGUGGGGGGUGGCUGCUGCCCCAGCUCCCUUCUCGGUGCGACAAACCGUCCGAGACCUGUCUCUCUUGGGUCACAUCACAACUUGCAUCUGCUCUCCUGGCCUCUGUGUUCAUGUGGGGGCUGGGGACGGUGCCGCUUGGUGCCAGCCUCCCUCAGGCAGUCCUUGAAGGGCCCCUCUGCCAAAUACACGUGUCCUUUCCCAA